AUUGAACGCUGGCGGCAGGCCUAACACAUGCAAGUCGAGCGGAGCGGCGGACGGGUGAGUAAUACCUAGGAAUCUGCCUGGUAGUGGGGGAUAACGUUCGGAAACGGACGCUAAUACCGCAUACUAUCAGAUGAGCCUAGGUCGGAUUAGCUAGUUGGUGGGGUAAGGGCCAACCAAGGCGACGAUCCGUAACUGGUCUGAGAGGAUGAUCAGUCACACUGGAACUGAGACACGGUCCAGACUCCUACGGGAGGCAGCAGUGGGGAAUAUUGGACAAUGGGCGAAAGCCUGAUCCAGCCAUGCCGCGUGUGUGAAGAAGGUCUUCGGAUUGUAAAGCACUUUAAGUUGGGAGGCGUUACCGACAGAAUAAGCACCGGCUAACUCCGUGCCAGCAGCCGCGGUAAUUC
rnacentral:rRNA from 1 species